rnacentral:rRNA from 1 species
GACAGAGGGUGCAAACGUUGCUCGGAAUCACUGGGCGUAAAGGGCGCGUAGGCGGGAAUGUAAGUCGGGCGUGAAAUCCCUAGGCUCAACCUAGGAACUGCACUCGAAACUGCGUUUCUUGAGUAUCGGAGAGGAAAGCGGAAUUCCUGGUGUAGAGGUGAAAUUCGUAGAUAUCAGGAGGAACACCAGUGGCGAAGGGCGGCUUUU